GCCAAGGCUUUUGACGAGCUUGGCUCUUCGGGCGCCGGUGGUGUCCGGCGCUCUUGUGGUUACGUUGCUCUAAGGAGGAUGUGGCUAUGAGAA
rfam:Microvirga sp. V5/3M plasmid unnamed3, complete sequence.